rnacentral:lncRNA from 1 species
UGGAGGUCUUUUGGAAAUAUUUGGAGCCCAUCCUGAAUAGUGAUAGGCCAGGAUCCAAACUCUCUGAGGUGGCAAGACUGCAAUGCUCAAUAAAGGAACAUGUCUGCCUUCCUGACUCAAUUGAAGGUGAUCUGGAGGUCAGUACAAGGACAGUGGAUUGAGACAUUACCUCUGAUUUAUUGGAUUAAGCAUUAGAAAGGAUCGACAGAGUACUAGAUAUACUCAAUGGGGGCUGAGUACCGUUAUGGCAACUUCGCAGAGCUGUAAUAUUCUCAGCUCCUCCAAUAUCAGCUGCUGUGGAGCAGUUACAUUGUAAUGUCUGUAUCCCUUUAGUGUAAAAUAUAUUGGGGGGGUUGGUUAAUUGCCCCCCUCCAGUGUAAGCUGCUGUGUUCCCUGAGUAUUCUACAGACAGCAGUUACAUUGUAAUGUCCAUAUCCUUUUAGUGUAAAAGAUAUUGGGGGGGGGGUUAAUAGCCCCCUCCAGUGUGAGCUGCUGUGUUCCCUGAGUAUUCUACAGACAGCAGUUACAUUGUAAUGUCCGUAUCCCUUUAGUGUAAAAGAUAUUGGGGAGGAUUGGGGGAGGGGCAGGGGGAUACAGAAUUAAUAUAUCUUUUGUUUUUUUGUUUUUAUGUGUUUUUACCCCUACCCCUCACAGCACAGCACCCCUACCUCCAACACAGCACCCCUAUCCCCACAGCACAGCACCCCUACCACCCACAGCAUAGCACCCCCAACACAGCACAGCACCCCUACCCCCAACACAGCACAGCACCCCUACCACCCACAGCACAGCACCCCUACCCCCAACACAGCACAGCACCCCUACCCCAACCUGGUUGUACCCCCACCCCCAGCACAGCUUCCAGCACCCCUACCCUAACUACAGCACAGCACCCUACCCCAACACAGCAGUCUGUGUGUACUCAGCUUAGUCUGUGUGUGUGUGUGUGUGUGUAUGUUCAACUUGGUCUGUGUGUGUGUGUAUGUAUUCAGCAGACUGUGUGUAUUCAGCAGUGUAUGUAUUCAGCAGACUGUGUGUGUAUUCAGCAGUGUAUGUACUCAGCAGUCUGUGUGUACUCAGCCAUCUGUAUGUAUGUGUAUUCAGCGGUCUGUGUGUAUUUAGCAGACUGACUGUGUGUGUAUUUAGCGGUCCGUGUGUGUGUGUGUAUUUAGCGGACCGUGUGUGUAUUUAGCAGACUGUGUGUGUGUGUGUAUUUAGCAGACCGUGUGUGUAUUUAGCAGACCUACUGUGUGUGUAUUUAGCGGACCGUGUGUGUAUUUAGCGGACCGUGUGUGUAUUUAGCGGACCGUGUGUGUAUUUAGCGGACUGUGUGUGUGUGUGUGUAUUUAGCGGAUGGUGUUUAUGUAUUUAGCAGCCGGUGUGUGAAUGUGUUCAGCAGUCUGUGUGUAUGUAUUGCAUUUGUUGGAGAUACUAAUAAAUAUAAGCUGAAUUUUAUCUAUUUAUAUCAUUAUUUAAAAUUUGUAUCAUUGAACUCUCUGUUGUGUUCUUCUUUUAAAACAAAAGUUGUUAAUUAGUUCGGACAACUGUAAAAGUUGUUUUUUCUAAACUUAAAUCUCAGUAUUCAGGUUUAAUUGCCGUGUUGGCACUUUGAGGGAAAAAAAGUUGUCAUGUAUUGCGGUUUGGGCACUCGGGCUCAAAAAGGUUCGCCAUCACUGCUUUAGUGUAAAAGAUAUUGGGGGGUUUUGUUAAUUGCCCCCCCCUCCAGUGUGAGCUGCUGUGUUCCCUGAGUAUUCUACAGACAGCAGUUACAUUGUAAUGUACAUAUCCCUUUAGUGUAAAAGAUAUUGGGGGGUUUGUUAAUUGCCCCAUCCACUGUGAGCGGCUGUGUUCCCUGAGUAUUCUACAGACAUUGUAAUGUCGGUAUCCCUUUAGUGUAAAAGAUAUUGGGGGGGAGUAUGUGGGAGGUUGGUUAAUUGCCCCCCUCCAGUGUGUGCUGCUGAGUUCCCUGUGUAUUCUACAGACAGCAGUUACAUUGUAAUGUUCCUAUACCUUUAGUGUAAAAGAUAUUGGGGGGUUUGGUUAAUUGCCCCCUCCAGUGUGAGCUGCUGUGUUCCCUGAGUAUGCUGCAGACAGCAAUUACAUUGUAAUGUCCGUAUCCCUUUACUGUAAAAGAUAUUGGGGGGAGAGGGGGUUGGUUAAUUGCCCCCUCCAGUGCGAGCUGCUGUGUUCCCUGAGUAUUCUGCAGACAGCAGUUACAUUGUAAUGUCCAUAUCCCUUUACUGUAAAAGAUAUUGGGGGGAGAGGGGUUUGGUUAAUUGCCCCCCUCCAGAGUGAGCUGCUGAGUUCCCUGAGUAUUCUACAGACAGCAGUUACAUUGUAAUGUCUGUAUCCCUUUAGUGUAGAAGAUAUUGAGGCGGUUGGUUAAUUGCCCCACUCCAGUGUGAGCUGCUGUGUUCCCUGAGUAUUCUACAGACAGCAGUUACAUUGUAAUGUCUGUAUCCCUUUAGUGUAAAAGAUAUUGAGGCGGUUGGUUAAUUGCCCCACUCCAGUGUGAGCGGCUGUGUUCCCUGAGUAUUCUACAGACAGCAGUUACAUUGUAAUGUCUGUAUCCCUUUAGUGUAAAAGAUAUUGAGGCGGUUGGUUAAUUGCCCCACUCCAGUGUGAGCGGCUGUGUUCCCUGAGUAUUCUACAGACAGCAGUUACAUUGUAAUGUCUGUAUCCCUUUAUUGUAAAAGAUAUUGGGGGGAGAGGGGUUUGGUUAAUUGCCCCCCUCCAGUGUGAGCGGCUGUGUUCCCUGAGUAUUCUACAGACAGCAGUUACAUUGUAAUGUCUGUAUCCCUUUAGUGUAAAAGAUAUUAGCAGGGCGGUUGGUUAAUUGCCCCACUCAGGUGUGAGCUGCUGUGUUCCCUAUGGUAUUCUACAGACGCUUGAUUUACAUUGGCAAUGUCUGUAUCCUUUAGUGUAAAGAUAUUGAGGCGGUUGGUUAAUUGCCCCACUCCCAGUGUGAACUGGCUACUGUGAUUCCCUGAGUAUUCUACAGACAGCUUGGUUGGUCUGUCUAACUUCUAUUUUGGAUCAGUGGCAGCAACCUGAUAUGCUUGGAUGAGGGCGCGACCUUCACUCACUGACAAUAUUGAGGGCCCCGGUUCUGGGAUAAAUACCUAUAGAAACCACAGUUGCACCAAAUACCUAUACUCCACAUGGCAUAGCAAAGUACAGGAUUCACCCUUCCAAACCCUGUGAUAUACUCAGUAACAUCUAGCAACCAUUUACCUGGUGGAUAGAGCGACUACCAAACACAAAGGGUGGGAGGAAGGGGCCACCAUUUUACACAGAGGGUGGGAGAAGGAGGCCGCCAUUUACACACAGAGGGUGGGAGAAGGGGCAUGUUUACACAGAGGUGGGAGAAGGGGACAUACAUUUGCACAGAGGGGUGGGAGGGAGCCGCCAUUUACAGAGGGUGGGAGAGGGGCAGCCAUUUACACAGAGGGGGUGGGGAGGAAGGGGGGGCCAUUUUACACAAAGGGUGGGAGAAGGGGAGCCACCAUUUACACAGAGGGUGGGAGAAGGGGAGCCGCCAUUUACACAGAGGGUGGGAGAAGGGGAGCCGUCAUUUACACAGAGGGUGGGAGAAGGGGAGCCGCCAUUUACACAGAGGGUGGGAGAAGGGGAGCCGCCAUUUACACAGAGGGUGGGAGAAGGGGAGCCGCCAUUUACACAGAGACUCGGAUGGGCAGAGAGAGUGGUUUCACUGUAGGGUGUAAGUCAGUGCUGGAGCAAAGUGAAUGGUUAAUGGGACUUUAUGGACUACAUGUAGGAAUGUUAUUGGGAGAAAAGAGUUUAAUAGGGAAGAAAGUCUUAAAGGGUUAUUUACUAAAGUGACAAUUCAAGGCGCAUACAAAGUCCGUUUCAAAUAUAACUCAAAAUAGCUGAACUUGAAAAAUUCUUAAUGUCCGCUAUGCUUUCCAUUCAGCUACUCUGACCUUCAAUUUGAAAUUAAUUUAAUUUAGUGACGAACGCUCUCUGUUUCUCACUUUGUAAAGGUACAACGUCAGUUCUGCUCUGUGUCGUCAGGAAACGGGCGGAUUAGCCAUGCAUUCUGCAUUAUGGUUUAACGAUGACAAACAUUUACUCACCCAUUCCUUUAGUAUGUAACCGUCCGUCUUGUUUUGUCUCCCAUAGCUGACACACGCUACGGAAGUGUUUGAAAGAGUCGCAUGUCUGAUGUAUGACUGCCUGGACUGGAGACGCCAACAUCAGCUCUACCUGAACAGCAUGAAGAUC